UGGGACUUCAGCUGCUGAACCCGUUUGGUUUGGUCCAUCAUCAAUCUCACGGGCUAAUUUGUUUCCAAAUAGCAGGGUCUUUUUUUUAACCCCAGAGGGUUGUUUGUACUUUUGGGACUCGGGCCACGUAUCGGAGUGAGAUUGUGAUUGCGGGGUUUUGAUUUAGUACUUCAGUUCUCUCCCUGGGCUGUCCAUCUGGGUCUGACGGCGAGUCAAACCCACUCCGUGCCGUCCUUUCCAGCCCCGGACUAAUUUCCAGCUCUGCUCGUUCAUGUUCUCAGCCGGAUCUUUCGGCUCUCGUAAGUAACCAAGAAACUGCAUCAAGCACCUGACCAUUCGAAGGUGGUGGGAGAUUUAGACUGGACAGUCGAAUAGCUUGUUUGUCAAGUAGAAGACCGAAUGGGAUAGAGUGAAGAAGCUAAUAAGGAUCUGCAGAAGUGUUCACAAGCCAGCUGGUCACAGAUCAAAGAAGAUUGACGGAACUUUGUUCAAAUACAUUAACAACGUCGAAAGUAGCGUACUUCAAGAGAAAAUAUGCAGAAGAAGAAGAUUUGCAUAAAGUUUACAAUGGGUACUUUCCAAAAAACCUGAUCUUUCCAGAAGAUCGAACAUGUAUUCUAAGGCUUUCACUAGAAAAACUAAGGAUUCUUGAAGACCCUGAAAUCUAUCUUCGAAGGGCUGUUUUAAUAAACAAUUUAUUGAGGAAAAUCCACAUUGAAACAGAGAAAGAAAUGUAUGACUAUGCUGAACAGUUUAAUAAGGCUUCAAAGCAUCUCUACUCUGAUGCACAGAAGAGAGUGAAGUAUAUGAUCAAGGAUUGUAAUGAAUGUUCCGAAUCUUUGUAUUAUGAAGAGAUUGGUUCAUACUCCAUUGUGCCUUUUUCUUCAAAUAAUGUCAUCUAUGGACUUGGUUAUCCAAAUGGCUAUUUGGGAAAAAGUACUUUCUAAAAUGGAAUUCCAAACAGGAUGAUGAUUUGUUAGAUUUAUACCUCUGUCACUCUGUGUUUGGCAGAGAUCAAGCUUUGUAAACCAACUUAUUCACUGAAAAGUAAUGGUGAAUUUGUGCACAAGACCUAAUGGAUAUGCUCUGGUUGGAAAAUUGGUGACUUUAUAAAUCAGUAAAAUGAGAGCACUUAUGUUAAUCUUUGGUUUUGAUCUGAUCUGUUUGGAACAUUGUGUAUUUAAUGUUGUGUGUGUUUUUUGUUGCUGAGUAUGGACUGUGUAGAGAUUAUUUUAAUAGAACCAGUAUGGUGAUUUAUUGAUGUUA